GUUGACAAGGUCUAUUUCAGGGCUGCCUCUAUUCCUUGAAAGGGUUCAACAAGCAGAUUUAUUCACAGGUACUGCACUAGCUUCCUACUCAGUAGAUUGAUCACAGCAGGACUCUUCUACAAAGAAGAGACUCUGAACUUCCAGAAGCUUGACAAUGGCCCUUGGAGUGGUUGUCUCCAGAUUUAGCAUAUUUGAUUUUGAAGAUUUCCCACUGGAGGGUCAGCUCUUGGAUUUGGGCUGAUUUCAAAGCUACUCUGUGCUCAUUGGAUAUUCCUGAUAAUGCUGCUUGGGAUCACCCAAGCUCCAAGAAGAUGCCUACUUUCAUUAAAAGGACUUAAUCCAGAUUGGUCUGA
rnacentral:lncRNA from 1 species